AAGGCUUCUUGGCCUUUUGGCUAAGAUCAAGUGUAGUAUCUGUUCUUAUCAGUUUAAUAUCUGAUAUGUCCUCUAUGUGGUUUUAAUUAAUUGUUGUAAGCCGCCCCGAGGCUUCGGCGAAUGGGGCGGCAUAAAAAUGUUUUAACAAAU
rnacentral:snRNA from 1 species